GACGAACGCUGGCGGCGUGCCUAACACAUGCAAGUCAGGGAGAAAAGGGUAGCAAUAUCCUGAGUAAACCGGCGAACGGGUGAGUAACACGUAGGCAACUUACCUUGAGAACGGGAAUAACCCCGGGAAACCGGGGCUAAUACCCGAUGUUAUUCCGUUGUAGCAUUGCAAUGGAAUAAAAAGCCCGCAAGGGCGUCACAAGAUAGGCCUGCGUCCCAUUAGAUAGUUGGCGGGGUAACAGCCCACCAAGUCGACGAUGGGUAGCUGGUCUGAGAGGACGAUCAGCCACACUGGAACUGAGACACGGUCCUAGACUUCUACGGAAGGCAGCAGUGAGGAAUAUUGCUCAAUGGGCGAAAGCCUGAAGCAGCGACGCCGCGUGAAGGAU
rnacentral:rRNA from 1 species